rnacentral:rRNA from 1 species
CUUUAUACAUGCAAGUCGAACGAUGAAGUUCCUUCGGGAAUGGAUUAGUGGCGAACGGGUGAGGAACACGUGAGAAACCUGCCUUUCAUUCUGGGAUAACACCGGGAAACCGGUGCUAAUACCGGAUACUCCGUCUUGGCGGCAUCGCCGAGCCGGGAAAAAAUUUUGAUGAAAGAUGGUCUCGCGGCCUAUCAGCUAGUUGGUGAGGUAAAGGCUCACCAAGGCGACGACGGGUAGCCGGCCUGAGAGGGCGACCGGCCACACUGGGACUGAGACACGGCCCAGACUCCUACGGGAGGCAGCAGUAGGGAAUAUUGGGCAAUGGGCGCAAGCCUGACCCAGCGACGCCGCGUGAGGGAUGAAGGUCUUCGGAUUGUAAACCUCUUUCAGUAGGGAAGAAGCGAAAGUGACGGUACCUAAAGAAGAAGCACCGGCUAACUAUGUGCCAGCAGCCGCGGUAAUACAUAGGGUGCAAGCGUUGUCCGGAAUUAUUGGGCGUAAAGAGCUCGUAGGUUGUUUGUCGCGUCGAUUGUGAAAAUCUGAGGCUAACCUCAGACCUGCAGUCGAUACGGGCAGACUAGAGUGUGGUAGGGGAGACUGGAAUUCCUGGUGUAGCGGUGGAAUGCGCAGAUAUCAGGAGGAACACCAAUGGCGAAGGCAGGUCUCUGGGCCAUAACUGACACUGAGGAGCGAAAGUGCGGGGAGCGAACAGGAUUAGAUACCCUGGUAGUCCGCACCGUAAACGGUGGGCACUAGUUGUGGGAACCUUCCACGGUUUCCGCGACGCAGCAAACGCAUUAAGUGCCCCGCCUGGGGAGUACGAUCGCAAGAUUAAAACUCAAAGGAAUUGACGGGGCCCCGCACAAGCAGCGGAGCAUGCGGCUUAAUUCGACGCAACGCGAAGAACCUUACCAAGGCUUGACAUAUAGCGAAAAGUGGCAGAGAUGUCAUGUCCGCAAGGGCGCUAUACAGGUGGUGCAUGGUUGUCGUCAGCUCGUGUCGUGAGAUGUUGGG